CAGUCGAGCGACGCAUACCGGAGGGGUAACCCACUGGUAUGACGGAGCGGCGAACGGGUGAGUAACACGUGAGUAACCUGCCCCACAGACCGGGACAGCCCAGGGAAACCUGGAUUAAUACCGGAUACCCUCGAAGGAUCGCAUGAUCUUUCGAGGAAAUGCCUUUGUGCUGUGGGAUGGGCUCGCGACUUAUCAGCUAGUUGGUGGGGUAACGGCCUACCAAGGCGUCGACGAGUAGCUGGUCUGAGAGGACGAUCAGCCACACUGGGACUGAGACACGGCCCAGACUCCUACGGGAGGCAGCAGCAGGGAAUCUUGCGCAAUGGGCGAAAGCCUGACGCAGCAACGCCGCGUGGGGGAUGAAGGCCUUCGGGUUGUAAACCCCUUUCAGGAGGGAAGAAAUUGACGGUACCUCCAAAAGAAGCACCGGCCAACUACGUGCCAGCAGCCGCGGUAAUACGUAGGGUGCGAGCGUUAUCCGGAAUCAUUGGGCGUAAAGAGCUCGUAGGCGGUUCAGUAAGUCGGCUGUGAAAUUUCGAGGCUCAACCUCGAAACUGCAGUCGAAACUGCUGUGACUCGAGUCCGGUAGAGGAGAAUGGAAUUCCCGGUGUAGCG
rnacentral:rRNA from 1 species